UAGGGAAUAUUGGGCAAUGGAGGGAACUCUGACCCAGCCAUGCCGCGUGCAGGAUGAAGGCGUUAUGCGUUGUAAACUGCUUUUAUAUAGGAAGAAAUAGUCCUUGCGAGGAAAGUUGACGGUACUAUAUGAAUAAGCACCGGCUAACUCCGUGCCAGCAGCCGCGGUAAUACGGAGGGUGCAAGCGUUGUCCGGAUUUAUUGGGUUUAAAGGGUGCGUAGGCGGUUUAUUAAGUCAGUGGUGAAAGACGGUCGCUCAACGAUUGCAGUGCCAUUGAUACUGGUAGACUUGAGUAUGAUUGAGGUAGCUGGAAUGGAUAGUGUAGCGGUGAAAUGCAUAGAUAUUAUCCAGAACACCAAUUGCGUAGGCAAGUUACUAAGUCAUAACUGACGCUGAGGCACGAAAGUGUGGGUAUCAAGCAGGAUUAGAUACCCAAGUAGUCCCUGAGCGGGCUGGCAAGGCGCAU
rnacentral:rRNA from 1 species